UUGGAGUCCAUGAGGAUGAGGAAGUAGAAUAUCUUCCUUUCUUGGUUGAGUUUGAAGAGAGUCCUGAUUGUUUCUGUCUUUUCUGUUGCGGAACAUUUCCAGAUAUUCUGCCAGGGUGAAUUCUUUAAUAGACUAGCGGAUCGGCGUGCAAAUGAGAGUGGAGUUUCACUCAAAUGCGACAGUUCUUCCUUGAAUGGUGAUUCUUCUAAAUUUCUCACUGAUGCCUGAGUUAAACCGAUAUUUCCAUGAGACUUCAAAUCAAGAGGAAAAACAUUUUCUCCAAAAUCUGGAUCUUUCUCUGUUUCUGUUAUCAAAUUUGUGAAGUACACGGAAUCAGGAAUGUCAAAGCUUUUAUCAAAUAAGGGGCUGUCUGUCAAGUCGACCACCUCGCCUCUAACAUCUUCAUGCAGCUUCUCAGAAUUACUAAGGCUAUUCCAAUUCACACUUUUUCCCAUCAAAUCAAUAUCCAGUAUUUCAUUUUGAGCCAAGUCUUUAUUUUUCAAAGAUAAACCGGGUUGUCUCAGUUGCUCUAAUUUUGGGGGAGCUUUGCAGUUCCCUGGUGAAUAGGAGACUCCAGAACGGAUUCGCAUCGUAGCCGCGUUGAUGCUCUGCUUUUGAUCAAAAAACUCACUCAUGGAUAAACUUGUCUUUGCAAACUCACUGGAUCUCUCAUCAUUUUUUGGAAUACCAAAAUUGAAAAGUUUUGGCAAGGUAGAGGAAUCAGGGGCAGCCUUAAC